rnacentral:rRNA from 1 species
CGGCACGGGUGAGUAACACGUAUCCAACCUGCCGAUAACUCGGGGAUAGCCUUCUGAAAGGAAGAUUAAUACAAGAUGGCAUCAUGAGUCCGCAUGUUCACAUGAUUAAAAGGUAUUCCGGUAGACGAUGGGGAUGCGUUCCAUUAGAUAGUAGGCGGGGUAACGGCCCACCUAGUCUUCGAUGGAUAGGGGUUCUGAGAGGAAGGUCCCCCACAUUGGAACUGAGACACGGUCCAA